rnacentral:rRNA from 1 species
AGUGAACGCUGGCGGUAGGCCUAACACAUGCAAGUCGAACGGCAGCACAGUAAGAGCUUGCUCUUACGGGUGGCGAGUGGCGGACGGGUGAGGAAUACAUCGGAAUCUACUUUUUCGUGGGUGAUAACGUAGGGAAACUUACGCUAAUACCGCAUACGACCUACGGGUGAAAGCAGGGGAUCUUCGGACCUUGCGCGAUUGAAUGAGCCGAUGUCGGAUUAGCUAGUUGGCGGGGUAAAGGCCCACCAAGGCGACGAUCCGUAGCUGGUCUGAGAGGAUGAUCAGCCACACUGGAACUGAGACACGGUCCAGACUCCUACGGGAGGCAGCAGUGGGGAAUAUUGGACAAUGGGCGAAAGCCUGAUACAGCAAUACCGCGUGGGUGAAGAAGGCCUUCGGGUUGUAAAGCCAUUUUGUUGGGAAAGAAAAGAAGCAGGUUAAUACCCGGCUGUUAUGACGGUACCCAAAGAAUAAGCACCGGCUAACUUCGUG